GACGGGGAUGCAAGCGUUAUCCGGAAUGAUUGGGCGUAAAGCGUCUGCAGGUGGCAGUUCAAGUCUGCUGUCAAAGACCGGGGCUUAACUUCGGAAAGGCAGUGGAAACUGAACAGCUAGAGUAUGGUAGGGGCAGAGGGAAUUCCUGGUGUAGCGGUGAAAUGCGUAGAGAUCAGGAAGAACAUCGGUGGCGAAGGCGCUCUGCUGGACCAUAACUGACACUCAGGGACGAAAGCUAGGGGAGCGAAUGGG
rnacentral:rRNA from 1 species